rnacentral:tRNA from 1 species
GCUUGCCACGGUGUCGCAGUGGCUCAUUGCAUGGGCCAGGCGGGCUCACGACCCAGGUUCGAACCCUGGCUGGAGCA